AAAGGUAGGAAUCGUAAGAGUGUACAGAAAUAAGUCACAUGCAGACCAUAUUGAAAUAUGCAGAGAAUUCCAUGGAGACUCUGAUGGCUAGGGCACCGUUGAGCUGUUGCAACUGUUCUGCUGGAGCCUUAUGUAUGUGAUUGAAACCACCUGUACUACUGGAAUGAAAGCACCUUUACAGAAGAGGCAAUGCAAGUUGUAUUAAUCACAUGUGUAGAAUGAAUUAAGAUUCAUUCCAGUUGCAAAGAAGAAUAUUGGCUCACUAUUUUUCCUCUGGGCAUAAAGAGACCUCAAGUAAACCUCCAGCAGCCAUCUGGACUUCCAUGAAAACAGAACAAUCAGUGAGAUGCAGAGCUUGGAGGAGACAGUUUCCAUAGACUGAAGCACGUGCUGAAGCAAAGUUCACACUUGCAGGAUUAGAAGAGGUUGACCAAAAGAAGGAAGGACAUGGACAGCUAUGUUGUUGUGGAGUCCUGUUUUAUAGUCAUAACCUUGAGUCAAGUGAGUUUGUCUGGACAGACAGAGUGUGUUGCCUUUACUUAUAGGGAAGGCACCGGACACAGACAGCCUCAAGGACAUUUGUUCUAGCCUUUCAGUAUCCUUUCUCUUAAUUAUCUCACCUCAUCCAUGAAGCUGGUAUGUACGAUUUUUCCUUUCUUUCUCAAUCCUUUAAAAAAUUAAAGCUCUAAAUCUCAUUUCCACUUAGAUUUUAACAUUGCAUUGUAACUUAAGAUAAAACCUUGCUCUGUUGUUAAAAAUACUAAAGUAAGAAGCAAUAUGGCAUAGUGCUUACGAGCAGGACUACAUAGUUCUUUCUGAAUACAAAUCUCAGAUAAAACACUAUCUCAGUGAUCAACCAGGUUAAGCAACCUUUUUAGUGCCUCAAUUAUUCCAUCUGUAAAAUUGUAAUAAUGAUAUACUAACCUAUAAGAUUGUGGUGAGGAUUAAGUCAGAUAAUAAAAAAGAAGCAUUCAGAGAAUUGCCUGGCAUUAUCUACCAUUUAUUGAAUUUUUAUGGUUAAGAAGAAUAAGGAAAAGCAGAAGAAAAGGAAAAGAGAAAAAAUACAUAAGAAGAAGGAAGAGUGGUAAGCUCUAAUAAAUUACAACAAACGGUAACGUGGAAAACAUUUGUUAGCCCUUAAUAUAGGCCAGGUACUGUGUUCAAUGCUUAAACCUCAUUACUGUUCUUUGAAGCGGAUAACAUUAUUCCUUCCAUUUUAAAGAAAGGAAUACUAAAGACAACUUAGUCAAUAUUAUUCAUGUAAUAAAUGACAGAAUUUGACCAAGACAAUAGAGAAUGAACUCUUAAUCACUAUAUUGUUUUAUUUUUUGAAAAUAGAUUUUAAGUUCUUAUUAAAUGUUAAUGACUCACAUCAAAAUAAAGCCAAUCAAAAUUGACAG